rnacentral:rRNA from 1 species
CAGGGGGUGCAAACGUUGCUCGGAAUUAUUGGGCGUAAAGCGCGCGUAGGCGGCUACUUAUGUCGGAUGUGAAAGCCCUUGGCUCAACUGAGGAAGCGCACCCGAAACUGAGUAGCUGGAGUACGAAAGAGGGUCGCGGAAUUCCCGGUGUAGAGGUGAAAUUCGUAGAUAUCGGGAGGAACACCGGUGGCGAAGGCGGCGACCUGGGUCGAUACUGACGCUGAGGCGCGAAAGCGUGGGGAGCAAACAGGAUUAGAUACCCUGGUAGUCCACGCCGUAAACGAUGAGUGCUAGAUGUUUCUGGUAUUGACCCCGGAGGCGUCGUAGCUAACGCGUUAAGCACUCCGCCUGGGGAGUACGGCCGCAAGGCUA